GCUGUGUGCCUAAUACAUGCAUGUCGAGCGGAAGUAGCAAUACUUUAGCGGCGAAUGGGUGAGUAACACGUGCUUAAUCUACCUCUUAGAUUGGAAUACCUAAUGGAAACAUUGGUUAAUGCCGGAUACGCAUGGAGUCGCAUGACUCCGUUGUGAAAGGGGCCUUUAAAGCUCCACUAAGAGAUGAGGGUGCGGAACAUUAGCUAGUUGGUGAGGUAACGGCCCACCAAGGCUAUGAUGUUUAGCCGGGUCGAGAGACUGAACGGCCACAUUGGGACUGAGAUACGGCCCAAACUCCUACGGGAGGCAGCAGUAGGGAAUAUUCCACAAUGAGCGAAAGCUUGAUGGAGCGACACAGCGUGCACGAUGAAGGUCUUAUGGAUUGUAAAGUGCUGUUGCAAGGGAAGAAAAAGUAGUUGAGGAAAUGCUUCUACAUUGACGUACCUGUAGAAAGCGUGC
rnacentral:rRNA from 2 species